CACGCCGUAAACGAUGAGUGCUAGGUGUUAGGCCCUUUCCGGGGCUUAGUGCCGGAGCUAACGCAAUAANCACUCCGCCUGGGGAGUACGACCGCAAGGUUGAAACUCAAAGGAAUUGACGGGGGCCCGCACAAGCGGUGGAGCAUGUGGUUUAAUUCGAAGCAACGCGAAGANCCUUACCAGGUCUUGACAUCCCGAUGCUAUUCUUAGAGAUAGGAAGUUACUUCGGUACAUCGGAGACAGGUGGUGCAUGGUUGUCGUCAGCUCGUGUCGUGAGAUGUUGGGUUAAGUCCCGCAACGAGCGCAACCCUUAUUGUUAGUUGCCAUCAUUAAGUUGGGCACUCUAGCGAGACUGCCGGUAAUAAACCGGAGGAAGGUGGGGAUGACGUCAAAUCAUCAUGCCCCUUAUGACCUGGGCUACACACGUGCUACAAUGGUCGGUACAACGAGUUGCGAGCCGGUGACGGCAAGCUAAUCUCUGAAAGCCGAUCUCAGUUCGGAUUGGAGGCUGCAACUCGCCUCCAUGAAGUCGGAAUCGCUAGUAAUCGCGGAUCAGCACGCCGCGG
rnacentral:rRNA from 1 species